rnacentral:tRNA from 1 species
GCGCCCGUAGCUCAACCGGAUAGAGCGUUGGCCUCCGGAGCCAAAGGCCGCGUGUUCGAAUCACGCCGGGCGCGCCA